rnacentral:tRNA from 3 species
CGCGGAGUAGAGCAGUGGUAGCUCGUCGGGCUCAUAACCCGGAGGUCGUUGGUUCGAGUCCAGCCUCCGCCACCA